GACGAACGCUGGCGGCGUGCCUAAUACAUGCAAGUCGAACGCACUCUCGUUUAGAUUGAAGGAGCUUGCUCCUGAUUGAUAAACAUUUGAGUGAGUGGCGGACGGGUGAGUAACACGUGGGUAACCUGCCCUAAAGUGGGGGAUAACAUUUGGAAACAGAUGCUAAUACCGCAUAAAACCUAACACCGCAUGGUGUAGGGUUGAAAGAUGGUUUCGGCUAUCACUUUAGGAUGGACCCGCGGUGCAUUAGUUAGUUGGUGAGGUAAAGGCUCACCAAGACCGUGAUGCAUAGCCGACCUGAGAGGGUAAUCGGCCACACUGGGACUGAGACACGGCCCAGACUCCUACGGGAGGCAGCAGUAGGGAAUCUUCCACAAUGGACGAAAGUCUGAUGGAGCAACGCCGCGUGAGUGAAGAAGGUUUUCGGAUCGUAAAACUCUGUUGUUGGAGAAGGAAUGUAUCUGAUAGUAACUGAUCAGGUAGUGACGGUAUCCAACCAG
rnacentral:rRNA from 1 species